CUCACACUCCGUGUCUCUCUCUCUCUCUCUCAAAAAUAAAUAAAUGUUAAAAAGAAUUUUAAACAAAAACAAAUCUUCAAUGGGAGAAUUAAAUGACGUUCUGUCGUGUCUUACCAAAGGAAACGGAUGCAAAAACAAAACGAGAACAAAAACCUGGAAUCUGGUCCUUAACAAGCUUGAUCUAAUUGAUACAUCAGAAAGAGAUAGUUAAGUACACACAGCAAAAAGACAUUCAGCAUAAAUUUUGCAGGGCAUCUGAAUCAUUGACAAGGUUUAACCAGGACUGCAGAGGAAAUCUGAAAGAGAAUCCCCCCAAAAAUCCCAAAUCAUGGAGACGUGAUUCACUUUGCCUUGCGCAAUUAUAUUAGAUAUCAGCAGGAAGAAAGUUUAAAAGUGUAAAAUGUAAAUGUACUACUAAAACAUACAGGACGCAUUGGAUGGGAGAUAGGAAUCAGGAAAAAAAAUGAAACCAUUAUUCAAAAACAUGGAAUAGGAAUGACUUUACAUAAUCAGCUUAAGGGCAAGCCUUCCAGAAACUGCUAAAUUUCUCAGCCCCGUUAUAGCCACUACCCACUAUUAUUGUUCGUACAAACCCUAAAAUUAUUCAAAUGAUCCCAUGAGUGCUGAUUUUCCAGUGGGUCACAUCAUAGUUUCCGUAACAUGACUCUCUGUGUAGAGUAUAGCAUACUGUGGUCAGUUCCAUUUACCUGUCUCCCUGUGCUCUGAACGUUGAUGUCGUGCAUGAGAAUAGGGCUAAUACAUUGUUUAUUCCUUGUCUUCUGUGAUAAAACGGCUUGCUCUUUAUUGCUGUGUUUGUAACAUGUUUACACUUAGAAACUUCCAUCUCUAAAUAAGCAUCUUUUCUGCCACUCACACAUUGCCUAACAGUACCUAGAAACCAUAUGCUAUCUGAAAAAGGUAUUGAUUUACAAUUUCCCUAGAGCAAACAGGCAGAAGAUGACGGGUGAAAACAUAUCACACAAAAACGUAAAAGGAAAACAACAACCACCAGUCUCCUCCUUCUAGGUCAGGUGCAGAGACAUCACCGUUCACACCCACAGAGGCCAUUUCCAGCUGGCGCCCUCAACCAGCACUGGGGGAACGUCUUCCCUAAAGGUCCAGGUAGGAACUACUCUAGACUUCGCGGUCAGAGGGUCUCUGUGGUGACUUCUCAACACUUCGAGGCAGACUGAAGCCUGAGGGCACGCUCACACGGCCCAAGAAGGCAGGAAGACCAUGGCUAUCUGCCCAUAAGACAUGACUGAGGGACGCUGGGAUUCACAUCUAAUCUCCUUGCAUCCACAAAGACUCCUCUUUCCGACCAGAAUGAGGUUCUCUCCGUUGCUAUGUUUCUUGACACUCGCUAUGCGAACCGCACAGCAGGCUGAUUUUUAAAAUAACAUUUUAAAUGUUUCAAGUAACAUUUGAAAAAGGGUACAAAUGUUAAGAGGAACAUCGGGAGAAAAACUUGGAUCUGAGACCCAGCUCAGACACAUCUAUGGUACAACUUGAAGAAUCCGCAUCUGUGGAAAACGACGCAAUGGGAACUCCCCUGUUGCCCAAGUCUGUGGACUUUGGAGCAGCAAACAUGAAGGAAAAUGGAGAGACUCUGUAUUACCUAUCAUUUCCUAAGAACGAAGGUCACAUGGAAAGGAGCUGAGGUGGCUGGGAUCUGAUUAUUAAAGCCUGCAAUGGAGAAACAUAGUACUUGCAAACGUUACAACAAACACAGGCAGGAAAAAAAAAUAGAAUUUCAUCAUAUUUCCUCUCCCUCCUUCUGCCUUUUUAAAAAAGUAAUUAAUAGUUAUGGAAUCAAUCGAUUCACGCCCACAACUUAGUCGCCAUGAUGGGACUGCCCCCAAGGUGAAAAUCAUUCUGGAAUGCUCCGGUCAGCAGUAAAUCUUCAAUUCAGAGGUUGAUGGGGAUCAAUAAAGGACAGCUGGAUGGAAACAUGUUUGCCUGAGAAAUUUCUCCUGUUUUCCUCCAUGCUUGGCCUCCAAAUUCCAAAUUCCAGAUUCCCCUUUGGCAAGCACAAUGCUGCUAGGGACCCCCAGGCAAGCAGUUGCAGAAGGAUUCUAGUGAAACCCUUGACUUUCAAAGCGUAUGAUGCCCAAUCUCUAUUCACAUUAUUUUUGUUUGCAAUUAUUUUCAUGUUUUAUUGAUUAAAACCUUUUUCAUUACCCUCUUA